AUACUUACCUGGACGGGGUCGACGGCUGAUCAAGAAGAGUCGUGGCCUAGGCUAGUGGUCCACAUUGCACUUGGUGGAUGCGCUGGCCUACCAUCUCCCCAAGUGGGAGAGUGGACGUCGUAAUUUGUGAUAGAGGGGGUACGCGUUCGCGCGGCCCCUG
rnacentral:snRNA from 1 species